GCCCCUCUGGCCCAAUUGGCAGAGGCGCUCGCCUCAGAAGCGAGAGGUUCCCGGUUCGAAUCCGGGGAGGGGCACCA
rnacentral:tRNA from 1 species